CUGAACGAGUUCCACGCGACUCGUUAAACGAGUCAUUAUUCAUUCGUAAUUAAACACACGCUCGAGUAUCGUUGAUAUCAAACUGAACGGUAUAUUAUCGUUUCCUUCUUUUUUUUUUUUGUGUUCUUUUUGAACUAUCAUAAAAAUAUACGCUCAUAGUUUCGUACACAUAUAGUCUUCACAUAUAAAGUGAUACCGAUAAUACACUAUCUUUUGGACAAGGUUAAUCUUCGUUUCCUGUCAUUAGCAAGACAUACAAUCUUGCUGCAAACCAGGUCGCUGUCAUCUGUGGAUAUACAGUUAAAGGAACACUCAAACAGUAAUCUUAAAUUACUUCCGAUAUGACUAAGGCAUCAGUUAUUACCAUAGGAAAAGCUAAGGUAAAAAUCGUUGUAGACGAUGUGUAAGCUGACACUGUAACUAUCAAAUAGCGUUUUUCCAUUUGAUUUAUUACUGUGUAGGAAUUGGAUCAAUUCACCCGAUGUUACUUAUUAUAAAAAAAAAUGGUGUAUUAAAACUAAGUCGAUCAAAGGAUUCUCUAAGAUUGGUGAGACAACUCUUAAUCAAGGAAAAUCAUUAGAUGAAUUGAAAUUGUGACAGCGCAAUAGAAACUAAAGGAAAAAUCACUAUAUGUAUCAGAUCUGAUGGCUGUAGGUAAAGAUACUACAGAUAUAGAAGUCAGCCAUAAAGCAAUGUGUAUGUUGAAUAAAUAUAAAAAAAAUUUUUAAUGAAUAUUAAUGCAUUUUUUUUACACAUAUGGCUGAAAUGGAACUCAGUAAAGUAGUUGGUAAUGUACCAAUUGUAUGCGAACCAUACAAAAUAACUGCAGAAGAGAGGGAACUGAUUUAUAAAAUUGUUGAAGAGUGGAAAAAGGUUGAAAUAGUUGUUGAUACUAAUUCUUCAUACGUAAGUCCAGUUAUUUAUUAUAAUGGAAAAAUCACCGACUAUGUGUUGACUAUAGGAAGCUCAAUACGUAGGUUAAAAAACCAAAUUUCCCUCUAAUGAUCAAGUUGGAUCCUAUCACUCCUGAAGCACAAGUAAAAUUCCCUUUUGUGACACCAGACGAAGCCGGACAAUUUACCAUGAUGCAUUUUGGCUAGUUCACUUGAUGAAUUUAAUCGUUUCAUGAAAACAAUACUUGAUAAUAAUAAUUACUUGAUGAUUAGGUCAUUGAAGCGCAAGAUUAUAAAAAAUAUGUUAUAUAUGGAAAACUAGAAGCUGUUCUAGAGUGGUUAUUUGUUCUACUAGUUAAUAACUAGUUAUUAUAUCACAAUUUUCUUCGUUAUUCCUAUGAGAACAUUUUUUAGAUCAAUCAAUUGUAUUUUUUUAUAAAAACAUAAAAUAAAAUAAGACAUUUUUUAAAUUUUAAA